rnacentral:lncRNA from 1 species
UUUAAAUACAUUUUUUUUAGAAAAAACACAAGUUAUUUAUUUUAUUUUAUUCAUUAAGGCUUCGUUUUGGAUUGCGGAGAGAUUGCGUUAUGUGCAAUCAGAAAGUACGUUGGAAAAAUAUUAUAUUUAUUUUCGUACAUAAUAUUGCGUUCCGCAUAUCGCGAUGAGUCGAUUACAAUAUAUUUUCUGCGGUUUCAUCGGAGAACGCUAAAGCAUAUCCCUAUAUAUUUUUUCUUCAACUCUAUUUUAUCUAAUAGCGUUAGAUAGGUCUCAAUACCAAACUAAGUCUAAGUAUGUUAAUUAAGCAACAGUUGGUGAAGCAUUUUGUGAGUGCAAAAUCAUAUUGGUAUUUGCUUCUGUCUCAAUACUUUUUUUUUUUUUUUUUGAGAAAUGGAUGGCAUGCUACUCGCUUCUGUCUCAAUUUUUUUUUAAUGUCUACUAUC